ensembl:snRNA U6 U6 spliceosomal RNA
GUUUUCACUUCAGCAGCACAUAGACUAAAAUUGAAAUGAUACAAAGAAGAUUAGCAAGACUGCUGCUCAAGGAUGACAUGCAAAUUCAUAAAGUGUUUCAUAUUUUU